GACGAACGCUGGCGGCGUGCUUAACACAUGCAAGUCGAACGGUGACCUCGAGAGCUUGCUCUUGGGUGAACAGUGGCGAACGGGUGAGUAACACGUGAGUAACCUGCCCCUGACUCUGGAAUAAGCGCUGGAAACGGCGUCUAAUACCGGAUAUGACACACCCUCGCAUGGGGAGUGUGUGGAAAGUUUUUCGGUCUGGGAUGGACUCGCGGCCUAUCAGCUUGAUGGUGAGGUAAUGGCUCACCAAGGCGAUGACGGGUAGCCGGCCUGAGGGGGCGACCGGCCACACUGGGACUGAGACACGGCCCAGACUCCUACGGGAGGCAGCAGUGGGGAAUAUUGCACAAUGGGCGAAAGCCUGAUGUAGCGACGCCGCGUGAGGGAUGACGGCCUUCGGGUUGUAAACCUCUUUCAGCAGGGAAGAAGCGCAAGUGACGGUACCUGCAGAAGAAGCACCGGCUAACUACGUGCCAGCCGCCGCGGUAAAAC
rnacentral:rRNA from 1 species